AGGAGGAGAGAGUACGAGUAAGAAGAAAGACAUGUGGGCCAACUGAGCUCUCAUUGGUUAAGGUUGUCUUGUGGGCCAUGUAGGUAGUUGAAUUGUGGUUGGUUUAUUUAAUCGAAGAAAUAAAUGAAGAAAGACUACUUUGGGGAGUGCAAGGAUAAAAGGGUAGGGAGAAUAGAGAGGGGGCAGUGAGAAUUCAUUUAGGAGGGUAUGGGGUAUAUGGAGUUAAUCUCCGAUGAACUUUGAUCUGUGUUUAAUCUUUUUAAAACAAUGUUAUGAAUCAUUAUUUGGUUUGCAUGAC
rnacentral:lncRNA from 1 species